AUUCAUCUAUGAGAGACCUGGAGGAGUUAAUGUCUGCUGCUAAGGUUUCCACUACAGAUGCAUGAAAAAGAAGGUCCUCACACUUUCUGUCUGCAUGUAGCAGCCAAGAUUGAAUGAAGGAAUACAUAG
rnacentral:snoRNA from 1 species